rnacentral:rRNA from 1 species
UACGAGGGGGGCAAGCGUUGUUCGGAAUUAUUGGGCGUAAAGAGCUUGUAGGCGGUUUGUCGCGUCUGCCGUGAAAAUUCGAGGCUCAACCUCGAACUUGCGGUGGGUACGGGCAGACUAGAGUGUGGUAGGGGAGACUGGAAUUCCUGGUGUAGCGGUGAAAUGCGCAGAUAUCAGGAGGAACACCGAUGGCGAAGGCAGGUCUCUGGGCCACUACUGACGCUGAGAAGCGAAAGCAUGGGGAGCGAACAGG